AUUGAACGCUGGCGGCAUGCCUUACACAUGCAAGUCGAACGGCAGCGCGGACUUCGGUCUGGCGGCGAGUGGCGAACGGGUGAGUAAUACAUCGGAACGUACCCUGUUGUGGGGGAUAACUAGUCGAAAGAUUAGCUAAUACCGCAUACGACCUGAGGGUGAAAGUGGGGGGCCGGAAACGGCCUCAUGCAGCAGGAGCGGCCGAUGUCUGAUUAGCUAGUUGGUGGGGUAAAGGCCCACCAAGGCGACGAUCAGUAGCUGGUCUGAGAGGACGAUCAGCCACACUGGGACUGAGACACGGCCCAGACUCCUACGGGAGGCAGCAGUGGGGAAUUUUGGACAAUGGGGGCAACCCUGAUCCAGCAAUGCCGCGUGUGUGAAGAAGGCCUUCGGGUUGUAAAGCACUUUUGUCCGGAAAGAAAUCGCGCUGGUUAAUACCUGGCGUGGAUGACGGUACCGGAAGAAUAAGCACCGGCUAACUACGUG
rnacentral:rRNA from 1 species